AUAGAUGGUGAAGUGGGAUUUCAAACAUAAUAUGGUCCAUCCAUUUCUGAAUGACCACCAAACAUAAUCUAGAGCAUCGUAGGCUCUAAGCACAUACCCUUUACCAUUUCUAGCAAAGGUCCAAAUAAUCCCACAAACACUAGUGUACAAAAGGGUAUUGUGAACAAUAAAUUGGGACAUAUCGGAAGCACAUGCGGAACAACGAAAUGUACAUGUGCCUUUAUGAAACAUUACGAUACAAACAUGAAGUUUACAUAACAGAUUUAGGUAUUCAAAAACAUGUAGGACAAGAGCAUAUAAUAAUUCAAAGCAGUAAUAUAAAGCUCAAUUGAAUAAGAAAGCUAAAGGAUAUCAAUUUUCAAAAGAAUGAAACCAGAAUAUGAGAAAUCGACCAAAGCUCGAUUUCUGGCAGAAUAUAAGAGGCACAUUGAACAAAUGAAUCAAACUAUCAAUCGUGCUCCAAUUUUACUCAGAAAAGCUAUCAAAAGAAAGGUUUAUGAGUCUAUAUUCUGAUCAAAUAAUUUUUGUCCAAAUCAGAGGUCAAUACAUGAAGUAAUAAUCAUAACAAGGUAGAAAGGUCAGAAUCUCAGAAGUUGCACAGAUUCGAAUCGUUAUGUCUAAACAGGAGAUAUAUCAAAUGCAAGGCUAGAACAAUUCAAAGUUCCUCAUAUUCAAAUCAAACGUAGAGAUAAAAU
rnacentral:lncRNA from 1 species